rnacentral:rRNA from 1 species
CCUACGGGAGGCUGCAGUGGGGAAUAUUGCACAAUGGGCGCAAGCCUGAUGCAGCCAUGCCGCGUGUGUGAAGAAGGCCUUCGGGUUGUAAAGCACUUUCAGCGGGGAGGAAGGCGUUAAGGUUAAUAACCUUGUCGAUUGACGUUACCCGCAGAAGAAGCACCGGCUAACUCCGUGCCAGCAGCCGCGGUAAUACGGAGGGUGCAAGCAUUAAUCGGAAUUACUGGGCGUAAAGCGCACGCAGGCGGUCUGUCAAGUCGGACGUGAGAUCCCCGGGCUCAACCUGGGAACUGCAUUCGAAACUGGCAGGCUAGAGUCUUGUAGAGGGGGGUAGAAUUCCAGGUGUAGCGGUGAAAUGCGUAGAGAUCUGGAGGAAUACCGGUGGCGAAGGCGGCCCCCUGGACAAAGACUGACGCUCAGGUGCGAAAGCGUGGGGGGCAAACAGGAUUAGAUACCCGUGUAGUC